rnacentral:rRNA from 2 species
UACGAAGGGGGCUAGCGUUGCUCGGAAUGACUGGGCGUAAAGGGCGCGUAGGCGGAUGGCACAGUCAGAUGUGAAAUUCCCGGGCUUAACCUGGGGGCUGCAUUUGAUACGUGUGAUCUGGAGUGAGGAAGAGGGUCGUGGAAUUCCCAGUGUAGAGGUGAAAUUCGUAGAUAUUGGGAAGAACACCGGUGGCGAAGGCGGCGACCUGGUCCUUGACUGACGCUGAGGCGCGAAAGCGUGGGGAGCAAACAGG